AUGUGCAGCACAGGAUCCAGCUGAUUCCCCUCCCCGGAAGUGACGGGGUAUAGAAAUCUGACGGAGUAUAGCAGAAUGAUAGAACACCCUCUCUCCAGUAUCUAUACUUACUGUCAUGUGAUAGUGGUGACAUCAUGAUUGGUUUCGAACUUGUACAAUUGCCUCCAUCCUUAAGGGGCUAACAGAUAUCAAUAAGUAUUUGUUGUAAAUUUUUUGUUAUUCAGGGGAGACUCGUUUUUCCAAUGGUUUCAAA